AUUGAACGCUGGCGGCAGGCCUAACACAUGCAAGUCGAGCGGAGCAGCGGACGGGUGAGUACUGCCUAGGAAUCUGCAUGGUAGUGGGGGAUAACGUCCGGAACCGGGCGCUAAUACCGCAUCCUCUCAGAUGAGCCUAGGUCGGAUUAGCUAGAUGGUGGGGUAAAGGCCUACCCAGGCCACGAUCCGUAACUGGUCUGAGAGGAUGAUCAGUCACACUGGAACUGAGACACGGUCCAGACUCCUACGGGAGGCAGCAGUGGGGAAUAUUGGACAAUGGGCGAAAGCCUGAUCCAGCCAUGCCGCGUGUGUGAAGAAGGUCUUCGGAUUGUAAAGUACUUUAAGUUGGGAGGCGUUACCAACAGAAUAAGCACCGGCUAACUCCGUGCCAGCAGCCGCGGUAAUUC
rnacentral:rRNA from 1 species